rnacentral:piRNA from 1 species
CAAGACGGUGAGGGACUAGCUCCA